rnacentral:rRNA from 1 species
UACGAAGGGGGCUAGCGUUGCUCGGAAUCACUGGGCGUAAAGCGCACGUAGGCGGCUUGUUAAGUCAGGGGUGAAAUCCUGGAGCUCAACUCCAGAACUGCCCUUGAUACUGGCGAUCUCGAGUUCGGGAGAGGUGAGUGGAACUGCGAGUGUAGAGGUGAAAUUCGUAGAUAUUCGCAAGAACACCAGUGGCGAAGGCGGCUCACUGGCCCGAUACUGACGCUGAGGUGCGAAAGCGUGGGGAGCAAACAGG